rnacentral:rRNA from 1 species
AGAACGAACGCUGGCGGCAUGCCUAAUACAUGCAAGUCGAACGAACUCUUCGGAGUUAGUGGCGCACGGGUGCGUAACGCGUGGGAAUCUGCCCUUGGGUUCGGAAUAACAGUUGGAAACGACUGCUAAUACCGGAUGAUGACGAAAGUCCAAAGAUUUAUCGCCCAGGGAUGAGCCCGCGUAGGAUUAGCUCGUUGGUGAGGUAAAGGCUCACCAAGGCGACGAUCCUUAGCUGGUCUGAGAGGAUGAUCAGCCACACUGGGACUGAGACACGGCCCAGACUCCGUACGGGAGGCAGCAGUAGGGAAUAUUGGACAAUGGGACGAAAGCCGUGAUCCAGCAAUGCCGCUGAGUGAGUGAAGGCGUUAGGUUAGUAAGCUUACUUUACCCGAGUAUGAA